rnacentral:rRNA from 1 species
AGGACGAACGCUGGCGGCGUGCUUAACACAUGCAAGUCGAGCGGAAAGGCCCUUCGGGGUACUCGAGCGGCGAACGGGUGAGUAACACGUGAGCAACCUGCCCCUGGCUCUGGGAUAGCCUCCGGAAACGGGGAUUAAUACCGGACAUGACCUGCUGCCGCAUGGUGGCGGGUGGAAAGUUUUUCGGCCAGGGUGGGGCUCGCGGCCUAUCAGCUUGUUGGGGGGGUGACGGCCCACCAAGGCGACGACGGGUAGCCGGCCUGAGAGGGCGACCGGCCACACUGGGACUGAGACACGGCCCAGACUCCUACGGGAGGCAGCAGUGGGGAAUAUUGCGCAAUGGGCGGAAGCCUGACGCAGCGACGCCGCGUGCGGGAUGAAGGCCUUCGGGUUGUAAACCGCUUUCACCAGGGGCGAAGCGAGAGUGACGGUACCUGGGGAAGAAGCGCCGGCUAACGUACGCGCCAGCAGCCGC